rnacentral:tRNA from 1 species
AGGGGCAUAGCUCAACUGGUAGAGCGUCGGUCUCCAAAACCGAAGGCUGGGGGUUCAAGCCCCUCUGCCCCUGCCA